UGAGGAAUUUUGCACAAUGGGGGAAACCCUGAUGCAGCGACGCCGCGUGUGGGACGAAGGGGCUUUGCCUUGUAAACCACUGUCGGAAGGGAAGAAAAGUACGCUCGGCGUACCGGGACUGUACCUUCAAAGGAAGCACCGGCUAACUACGUGCCAGCAGCCGCGGUAAUACGUAGGGUGCAAGCGUUGUCCGGAAUUACUGGGUGUAAAGGGUGCGCAGGCGGGUCUGUGCGUCAGGGGUUAAAUAUCGCGGCUUAACCGAGAAAGUGCCCUUGAUACGGCAGAUCUUGAGUGUGAGAGAGGAUGGUAGAAUUCCUGGUGUAGCGGUGAAAUGCGUAGAUAUCAGGAGGAAUACCCGUGGCGAAGGCGGCCAUCUGGCUCACUACUGACGCUCAGGCACGAAAGCGUGGGGAUCAAACA
rnacentral:rRNA from 1 species